ACUCAAAUGAAUUGACGGAAGUUUGAACAAGCGGUGGAGCAUCUGGUUCAAUGCGAUAUAACGCGCAAAACCUUACCAGUCAUUGAAUAUUUUCUGUAUCUUUUAUAGAAAAAGGUGCAUAAAAUUUAUUGAUUUAUAUUUUUUAUGUGAAAAUACAGGUGCUGCAUGGCUGUCGUAAGCUCGUGUAGUGAUAUGUUUGGUUAACUCCAUUAACGAGCGCAACCCUCGCUUCUAGUUAUUAGUAGAAGAACUGCCUGUCGGCUACAGGAGGAAGGUGAGGACGAUGUCAAGUCAGUAUGGCCUUUAUAGACUGGGCUACACAGGUGCUACAAUGGUGACAACAAAGGGUAGCAAUAAUGUAAAUUGGUGCAAAUCUCAAAAAAAUUAUCUCAGUUCGGAUUGUCCUCUGCAACUCGAGGGCAUGAAGGCGGAAUCGCUAGUAAUCGUGAAACAGCAUGCUACGGUGAAUCUGUGACCAAACUUAGUACACACCGCCCGU
rnacentral:rRNA from 1 species